UACAGAGGCCCCAAGCGUUAGGCGGAAUCACUGGGCUUAAAGCGUGUGUAGGCGGGUUGGUAAGUACUUUGUGAAAUCCCACGGCUUAACUGUGGAACUGCUUAGUAUACUGCCGAUCUUGAGUCAUCUAGGGGCAGCCGGAACAGAUGGUGGAGCGGUGAAAUGCGUAGAUAUGCGGAGGAACACCGAUGGCGAAGGCAAUCCCCUGGGCCUGCACUGACGCUCAUGCACGAAAGCGUGGGGAGCAAACAGG
rnacentral:rRNA from 1 species